rnacentral:rRNA from 1 species
UACGAAGGGGCUAGCGUUGUUCGGAAUCACUGGGCGUAAAGCGCACGUAGGCGGACUCUUAAGUCAGGGGGUGAAAUCCUGGAGCUCAACUCCAGAACUGCCUUUGAUACUGGGAGUCUUGAGUUCGGGAGAGGUGAGUGGGAACUGCGAGUGUAGAGGUGAAAUUCGUAGAUAUUCGCAAGAACACCAGUGGCGAAGGCGGCUCACUGGCCCGAUACUGACGCUGAGGUGCGAAAGCGUGGGG